CCCCGUCCUAGGUGGCACACAAAAUCAACAUUUUCAUGCCAAGAUUCGUGCAAAAGGCACUAGACGACAAUCGAGGCGUGUGGACGAGUUGGGUAACGCUCACCCGUGUGGGCGUUAGUGUUUCCGUAGAUCUAAGAUUUUGGGGGCUGAUUCGUUGCCGCAGCUUUAGGUGAUUGGAGGGGAGAAAUUCGGUGCGUCUAGAAAUCAAGGGAUUGUGCGUUCCGCCUCUCGCUUUUGCCAUGGAUUUUGAUUUCUCUCUCGAGGUUUUCUCUUCUAUUGUCGAGCUGGGAGCAGUCUUUACUUUUUCUAUGGAGAGAUGGGAGCAUUGUCUCCGUGCCUGCAAUUUUUUGUACCCAGAUCAAUUUUAUUGUUUGGCGUAUUGCGAAUUUGCGAUGUUCUAAGAUUUGGGACUCGGUUGCAGUUCAUGGUGAUAAGUUUCGCAUCCAGAGCGAGCGUUGUGCAAAUAAGUUACAUACACUCUUUUCUUCAUGCCAAUGCCAAGAUUAUUCUGUGGACUGUGAUUACAGUAGUGACAUUAUCUUUUUUCAAGGGCUCUGCAUUUCGGAACACUUGAUAGUUAUGGACCGCCCGAGUUUGCUGCGGAGGCAUGAUCAGGAGGUUGUGAGGCCGAUCUCAAACAAAGGUUCGCCUGAAGCUCAUGAGGAAGAAAUGAUUCGAGCUGCUGUAAUAAACCGCUCGGCCCUUGCCACACUUCAACCAAGGAGCGCUUCCACAUUUGAUAUCACUCUUCCAGAAUAUCCUGAUAAGAAGUUUGUCCCAAAUUUUCCACUCGUUAUGAGAGAUGAGCUAACGGAGGAUAAUGACAUGACCCUGAACCCAGGAGGAGUCAGAGAAAAGGCUUGGAGAGACAGUUGUCUGACAGAUCUCCCGAGCAUACAUCUACGCAGGUUAAAUGGGUGCGACUUAUUGGAGCUCUGUAAGGAUGUACUUGCUGGGUUAACUCAUCAAAUGACAGAAAGAAGAGCUGCAAAUAUCAUGUUGUUAGCAUGGAACAUGAGACAAUUUGAUAUGGUGUCUCAUGUAUUUCCUGUUAAAAACCCGUGUGCAGCUUCGGCUGACAUAGACAUGAAUACUUUGACAACAAGACCGUUUGGGGGAAGUCAUACUUAUACAGACCCAUAUGUCAGGCCAGAGGGCAUUGAAGAUGAUCAGUAUGUUGCUGCAUGUGCAUACAUAUCGGCCAGUACACUCCGCUUGUUCAGUA